GACAGCACUUCAGGCAGGUCACUGCUGCAGGUCAGACCUGACAGUUAUAACCCCGUUUGUUCCGUUGCACUUUUCCUGACUGCAAAGAAAUACAUGCUGCUUCUGCAAUCCAGGUCGUAACCGUUUACAACACUAUCCGUGCCGCACCUGGAUGUCUUUGCUGACCUUUACUGUGCCUUAAUAAAUCAAUCGGGGGAAUGCGAGGCAUAAUGCUUUCAAAGAUAGAGGACAAGCAUUUCCACCUGCCAGAGACAGAGCCUGAGGCUGGCGCCCUCACAGCCCUGCUGGAGCCCAGCCAGGGCAGCAGUUCACUCCCUCACCAGCUCUUACUGCAAGAUGGCAGCAGAUGCCGCCGAGGAGCAAAUGGGCGGAUCCCGGGACUCUGAAGACACUGCAGGCCUGCCGGCUUCCAAAAACCAUGUGUCUAUCAGGUUCUUUGGGACUUUAACCUUUAUCUGCUUGGCUAUCUCUCCUGGGUUGUGGAGUAUCCCUUCUCAUCUGUCACCAUACUGCAGCCACCGGACACUACUUCUAAGAGGAAUACACAAGAAAUUUCUAGAGACACAUGAGAACACCGAUGGUUAAAAAAAAUUUUUUUUUGUUUUAUGCUUUUUAUGGCUUUAUUCUCCUAAAUUUUAAUUUUUUCUCCAUGUGAGUCUGCAGCAUCCUGCUUCCGAUCGGUAACUGUAGAGACGUUUUGGUGAGAAGCUGGUGUGCCUGAGCUAGGGUACUGACUCUCCACAGCCGUUCUAUGAGGCAGGAGCUGAUGCUGCAGGUGUUUGGCCCUCAAAAGAUGCUGAGAAGAGGUCUGAAGGAGUAAGAAGAUGUCUAUACUCAGACAAGUAUAGGCAAUGAAGCCAGGCCUAUCACCCAGGUUUCUUGUCCUAGUGAUCUUUGGGGCUCUUCCUCUAAAUCUUAUUGUUUCUUAUGUUUGUAUGUCAUUGUGAUUCUGAAAGGGCAAAGGAGCUUCUAAGUGUAAUGGUGCAUGUCUGUGACUGAGAGACUGAGCUAUUGAGUAACUAGUGUUUGAAGCUAGCCUGCACUACAGUGAGAAUGCCAGGAUACUCUAGUCUGUACCAUACAAACCUGUCU
rnacentral:lncRNA from 1 species